rnacentral:rRNA from 1 species
AUGGGCUCUUUUGGGAUGGAGUGGAACCAGAGGAGCUCGGUGCUGUGGGACUGGGAGAAUUUCCCGCCGAUAGGCGAGAACCCCAAGAAUGCGAUGCAGGCCGAUCCAAGAUUUGCCGCCGUUGCGGCUACCAUGGGGAACGAACCGCUCCAUUCUUCUGGCGGCAGCGGCAGCGGCAACUUCUCUUCCAGCUCGGAGAUGGGAUAUGGCUCUUCCAAGAGCUCCAUGUCCGCGUCGAUCGAUUCUUCGUCCAAGGCUGGGAACAACAUGGAGUUCAGAUUUGCGCCCGUCAAAAACACUGAUAGGAACAUGAGCAAGAAUACCGAGCUGGGUAAAGUUGAUAACACGAGAACUGGAACAUCUCCGUCGCCUGUGGUGGCAGUGAGCAGUGGGGAGCCGGUGAUCGGCCUGAAGCUCGGCAAGAGAACCUACUUCGAGGAUGUCUGUGGAGGGCAGAGUGUCAAGAGCUCGCCAUCGGGUGCUGUGAGCGCGCCAAACAAAUCUCCUGCUGUGGGCAAGAAGGCAAAGGCGGAACAACAGAAGCCACAUAACUCAUACUGUCAGGUUGAAGGCUGCAAAGCCGAUCUCUCUACUGUUAAAGAUUACCAUCGGAAGCACAGAGUCUGUGAACUUCACGCUAAGGCUCCCAAAGUUGUUGUCGCUGGUCUGGAGCGACGCUUUUGCCAACAGUGCAGCCGGUUUCAUGCUUUAGCCGAGUUUGACCAGAAAAAGCGAAGCUGCCGUAGGCGUCUCAAUGAUCAUAAUUCCCGCAGGCGCAAGCCACAGCCAGAAGCAAUUUCUUUCAGUUCAUCAAGGAUGUCUACAAUGUUUUAUGAUGCAAGGCAACAGCCAAAUUUCCUAUUCGGUCAGGCUCCUUAUGUUCAAAUGAGAAGCUGUGGAAGUUCUUCAUGGGAUGACCCAGGAGGCUUCAAAGUUACACACACAAAAGCUCCUUGGUUAAAGCCAACAACUGCUGCAGGUGUUCAUGGGAUGCAUUUAUCUAGUCAGCAGAUGUCGGACAAUAUUAUGCCGCAUGGUGCACAUCAUGGUUUCGAUGGGUUCAUGUCAUUCAAGGGAACUUGUACAAAGUUCCCUAAUCAAGGUGUCCAAGCUUCUGCUGUUGCUUCCGACUCCAGUGGAGCCCCGGAUCUUCAGCAUGCUCUCUCUCUUCUGUCAAGCAACCCAGUGGGUGCUGCCAACCUCCAGCCAAGUCCCCAGAUGCACUCUGGGGUGGCAGCCAUUGCCGGCGCCCCCAACCCCGCGAUGCACGCGCUGGGAUCAUCGGUGGGGCUCUGGCUAGACGGCGGCCAGCCCCUCGAUGAUCACCCGCGGUUCCAGGUCUUCGAGCGCUGGGGGGACCAUGACAGCGAGCUCCAGCUCCCAAAGCCUUCCUACGACCAUGCCUCGCACUUCGACCGGAUGCACUGA